GGGCCAUAGUUCAGUGGUAGAGCAUCUGCUCUCCAUGCAGAAGGUACCAGGUUCAAUUUCCGGCAUCUCCA